rnacentral:misc_RNA from 1 species
GCAACAUAGAUUAUCUUGAAUUCAUCCUUAUGCAAGUAACCAUCUCUAAAGUGAUGUUGGAUCUCAUGUAGAAUAGCAAUCAUAGCUAUGUUUGUUUUCCCAGCCCCAGUGGGGGCACACACUAGUAUGUUUUCGUUGCUAUUGUACGUAGUAUGGUAAAUUCUGCUCUGAAUACGAUUGAGACUCUUAUAGCCAUGAAAAGC